AAAGUUGGCUUGCCCACCGCCAAUAAACGCUACAAGAAGUCUUGCAUAAUUUUAGAAGCUAUGUCAACUUCAAGGUUAACUAACAAGUGUUAUUUUCAUCUGCUUAACUUGAGCUCCACAUGGAAAUGUCACCAACAAGCCUCCAGACUGUCAACGAUGAGAAGUGAAUUUGAAUCGAUAUGUGGUGACAGAUUUAGGAGUAUUUCUUCAGCACAGACAGUUACAAGGACCAGUGUAUGUGGAGGACGUUCACAGUGGUUUGAUUGGAUUCUGAAGAAAAGGGAACUCCAUUUAAGCACACCUCUUGGAGAAAAAACGGCAUUUCAGUUCAGG